AGGUCAAGCUACAAAGGGCGCAUGGUGAAUGCCUUGGCACUAGGAGCCGAAGAAGGACGUGAUAAGCUGCGAUAAGCUUUGGGUAGGCGCAAAUAGCCAGUGAUCCAGAGAUUUCCGAAUGGGGCAACCCCCAUAGUUAACACUAUGGACUAUAUACUGAAUACAUAGGUAUAUAGAGGUAAACCCGGGGAACUGAAACAUCUAAGUACCCGGAGGAAGAGAAAGAAACAUCGAUUUCCUAAGUAGCGGCGAGCGAAAGGGAAAGAGCCCAAACCUAAGCCUUUGGCUUAGGGGUUGAGGACAGAUCAUAAAAUUGCUGAUUUCUUAGUUGAAGAUAGCUGGAAAGCUACUCCGUAGAAGGUAAUAGACCUGUAAACGAAAGGAAAUAGGCAAGAGAUCUGAUCCAGAGUACCACGAGACACGUGAAACCUUGUGGGAAGCAGGGAGGACCACCUCCCAAGGCUAAAUACUACCUAGU
rnacentral:rRNA from 1 species